rnacentral:rRNA from 1 species
AUUGAACGCUGGCGGCAUGCGUUACACAUGCAAGUCGAACGGCAACACAUCUUCAGAUGCUGACUAGUGGCGACGGGUGGAGUACUACAUCGGAACGUGCCCGAACCUGCUGGUUAGCGAGGCGUAACCUAUGCUAAUACCCCAUACGACCUCCGAAUAACAACGGGGGAAAUCCGGACCUCGUGCGGCCUGGGCGGCCGAUGUCAGAUUAGGUAGUUGGUGGGAUAAAAGCGUACCAAGCCGACGAUCUGUAGCUGGUCUGAGAGGAUGAUCAGCCACACUGGGACUGAGACACGGCCCAGACUCCUACGGGAGGCAGCAGUGGGGAAUUUUGGACAAUGGGCGAAAGCCUGAUCCAGCCAUGCCGCGUGGAGGAAGAAGGCCUUCGGGUUGUAAAGUGCUUUUGUAGGGAAAGAAAAGCAGCUGGCUAAUACAGAGGGGUCAUGACGGUACCGAAAGAAUAAGCACCGGCUAACUACGUG